UCUUCGCUCGGGAAAGUUACGACUUAACUCUUCCCACUAGAAGCAUCAGCGCGCCGCAUAAACAGGAGCUAAAAGCACACCAUUGCUUUUCCGCGUUUUUCGCGAAUUUGAUCCAUAUUUGCCAGAAAGAGAAUUCAAAGGGGAAAAGCCCCGACUCCUUUCCUUUGUUUACGAAACUUUAAUUGAUAAAAAAACUCUUUAAAGUUACAUUAAGAGAAAAUAAAUUUCCUUGAAAUCAUAUGAAUGACCUUACUAUGGAAAGAACAUUUGUUGUAUAAAUUUUAUUAUCACUGAAAGUCGGAAUAUUUCUGUCCACAAAAAUACAGUGAAUGAUUCUUGAAACACUAUCCAUGCAGGUCGUCUGUAUAUGAUGGUUGAAGCAGCGUUCUGAAAAUUUGAUUGGUCAAGUGAAUUAUGCAGAGGAGACUUCAUCUGAAAUAUAAAAUCAUAGGAGCUCUUCUUCUGGUUAUUCAUCCCACGUAUUCAGGUAAAGAAACGAAACGGUGAAAUCAAAAUUCAGAGGAUUUUUUCCCAUAUGCACUUCAAUUGUUUAUUUCAAAUAAUGUUUGUGUUAUUCAGGCUAUACCUGGAAUUUUUUUGAAGUCAUCUUAAACCAGCAGUUUUCAAUUGGAAUUCAGCGGGUGUUUCGCAAAAAGAUUGUAAAAGAAACGAGAGGAAGAACUUAUGAAUAAAACUAUCGUGACAGGAUUUAGAAUGUAACAUAUAUUUUUCAUAAAACCUCAGAGAUAUUUUGUAGAGAAAUAAAUAUGAUACAAUUA